GGAUGUCGAUGAGUGCUAGGUGUUGGAGGCUUUCCGCGCCUUCAGUGCCGGAGCAUAACGCAUUAAGCAGCUCCGCCUGGGGAGUACGACCGCAAGGUUGAAACUCAAAGGAAUUGACGGGGGCCCGCACAAGCGGUGGAGCAUGUGGUUUAAUUCGAAGCUACGCGAAGAACCUUACCAGGUCUUGACAUCUUGCGCCAACCCUAGAGAUAGGGCGUUUCCUUCGGGAACGCAAUGACAGGUGGUGCAUGGUCGUCGUCAGCUCGUGUCGUGAGAUGUUGGGUUAAGUCCCGCAACGAGCGCAACCCUUGUUACUAGUUGCCAGCAUUAAGUUGGGCACUCUAGUGAGACUGCCGGUGACAAACCGGAGGAAGGUGGGGACGACGUCAGAUCAUCAUGCCCCUUAUGACCUGGGCUACACACGUGCUACAAUGGACGGUACAACGAGUCGCGAACUCGCGAGGGCAAGCAAAUCUCUUAAAACCGUUCUCAGUUCGGACUGCAGGCUGCAACUCGCCUGCACGAAGUCGGAAUCGCUAGUAAUCGCGGAUCAGCAUGCCGCGGUGAAUACGUUCCCGGGCCUUGUACACACCGCCCGUCACACCAUGAGAGUUUGUAACGCCCAAAGUCGGUGGGGUAACCUUUUAGGAGCCAGCCGCCUAAGGUGGGACAGAUGAUUAGGGUGAA
rnacentral:rRNA from 2 species